AUUGAACGCUGGCGGCAUGCCUUACACAUGCAAGUCGAACGGCAGCACGGGAGCAAUCCUGGUGGCGAGUGGCGAACGGGUGAGUAAAGUAUCGGAACGUGCCCAGCCGUGGGGGAUAACGUAGCGAAAGUUACGCUAAUACCGCAUACGAUCUAUGGAUGAAAGCGGGGGAUCGCAAGAACUCGCGCGAUUGGAGCGGCCGAUAUCAGAUUAGGUAGUUGGUGGGGUAAAGGCUCACCAAGCCGACGAUCUGUAGCUGGUCUGAGAGGACGACCAGCCACACUGGGACUGGGACACGGCCCAGACUCCUACGGGAGGCAGCAGUGGGGAAUUUUGGACAAUGGGCGAAAGCCUGAUCCAGCCAUGCCGCGUGCAGGAUGAAGGCCUUCGGGUUGUAAACUGCUUUUGUACGGAACGAAAAGGUUUGGCCUAAUAAGCUGAGCUCAUGACGGUACCGUAAGAAUAAGCACCGGCUAACUACGUGCCAGCCGCCGCCGUAA
rnacentral:rRNA from 1 species